CGAGAAUAGGGAUGCCGCGGGUCCGAGCCGGGGAGGCGUGCUGCAGCUGCUCAAGUUGCCCGUGUCCACGCAGGGUGCGCCCUGAGAGCCCGGUAGCGUCGGAUCUCUGUGCUGCAUACCCGAUGAUGGAUGAGCCGUGGUGGGAAGGGCGCGUCGCCUCAGACGUCCACUGCACCCUGCGCGAGAAGGAGCUGAAGCUGCCCGCCUUCCGAGCCCACUCCCCACUGUUGAAGAGCCGCCGGUUCUUUGUGGACAUCCUGACCCUGCUGAGCAGCCACUGUCAGCUGUGCCCCGCGGCCCGGCACCUGGCUGUCUACCUGCUGGACCACUUCCUGGACCGCUACAACAUCACCACCUCCAAGCAGCUGUAUGCCGUGGCGGUGUCCUGCCUCCUGCUUGCAAGUAAGUUCGAGGACAGGGAAGACCACGUGCCCAAGCUGGAGCAGAUAAACAGUACGAGGGUCCUGAACGGCCAGAACUUCACCCUCACCAAGAAGGAGCUGCUCAGCACAGAGCUGCUGCUCCUGGAAGCCUUCAGCUGGAACCUCUGCCUGCCCACACCCGCCCACUUUCUGGACUACUACCUCUCGGCCUCCAUCAGCCAGAAGGACCGGCACUGCCACAGCUGGCCUGCCACCUGCCCCCGCAAGACCAAAGAGUGCCUCAAGGAGUAUGCCCACUACUUCCUAGAGGUUACCCUGCAAGAUCAUAUUUUCUACAAAUUCCAGCCUUCUGUGGUGGCCGCAGCCUGCGUUGGGGCCUCCAGGAUUUGCCUUCAGCUUUCCCCCUACUGGACCAGAGACCUACAGAGGAUCUCAAAUUACUCUCUGGAACAUCUCAGCACAUGCAUUGAAAUCCUGCUGGUAGCUUAUGACAAUGUCUUCAAGGAUGCUGUUGCGGUCAAGAGCCAGGCCUUGGCAAUGGUGCCUGGCACACCCCCUGCCACCACCCAGAUGCUGUUCCAGCCGCCCACCUACCCCACCCUGAGCCAGCCGACGACACCAGCCCUGGCGCCAUUUCAGACCCCCGUGCAGGACCUAUGCUUGGCCUAUCGGGACUCGCUGCAGGCUCAUCGCUCUGGGAGCCUGCUCUCAGGGGGCUCUGGCUCCUCCCUCCAUGCCCUGUACCCCACCCUCCAGCCCCUGGACGUGUGUCCCGUGUCCCUCCCCACGCCCCUCAGCAUGCAGAUGGCCAUCGCAGCUGAGCCCAGGCACUGCCUCACCGCCACCUAUGGAAGCAGCUACUUCAGCGGAAGCCACGCGUUCCCCACGGGCUGUUUCGACAGAUAGGGCACCUUUGGGCCACACAGGGAGCCCUUGGAGACCCACCUGGGCAGAGGACGAGGACACAGGUGAGGGGAGCUCAGCGGAGUGAGGCAGUGGGGAGGCCAUCCCCACAGAGCCUCAUUGUUACCCUUGAACGGAGAGGGUUCAUGUUCUUUUUAAAUAAAGCUGACCCCCAGCAAAACAGUCCAUGACAACCUCCCCCGAGAGCAUUCCUCUGGAAAGCGUCUUCCACAUAUGUAGCUGGGGUGCAGGGGGAUGGCUCGGCCACCACCCUCUGGAGGAGGGAGCCCCUGAAUUGAGAAAGACUUGGUGAGAGGCCAGGAGACUGGAAACUGAAUGCAGACUGCCAGUCCAUGAGCAUGUUUGGUUUUUAGCAUCAAAGACUUCUUUACUUCUCGCCAGUGGCAGCUACACUGAAAAAGAAGGGGACUGCAUGAUGUAUCCUCAGGACCCCAGCAGGUGCCGCAUUGGGUGCUCUUUCCCUGCCUCCAUACAGAAGAGCUGUGUGUGUGUGUAUGCCUAAGCGUCGACCUUCUGAGGCAUGGCGGGCGGCUGUCUUGCCUUUGUUGUCGGACCUAAAACCUUAUUAGGCCUUUUAGAUAUCUCACAUGCUGCUGCUUCCUGAAGUGACCUAGCUUUCUGUUCAGUAAGAUAUCUUGUUUACAUAGUGUAUCAGGGAUUUUACGAUACUUGAAAAUUCCUUAGGAGAGAAAAAAUGUUGAUCGCCACACUGCCUGUCCCAUGCAAGGGCUGUAGGUUCGGACCCAGUUUGUAACAACAAGCAGGUGGUUGGGGAGAGCAACUCCCCAGGCUCUCAGUUCAAGAAGAUUCCACAUCUUGGAUGCUGUGUUCACCUGUAGAACUUUGACAGCCACCCAGAGGAGAAGGUGGUUGAAAGGUAGACAGAGGUUUACAACCAACGACCCUAACCCCACUCCACCAGGUGCUUACGGUGUGUGAGUUUGGCUAAUAGGGAAGGCUAAUAAUGUGGAAUGUUUGCUUCGUGCCAGCUGGAGUCAGGGAGCGGGGCAUGGACAGGGGUGUAUAUCAUAAAUACAGGCAAGCAAUUGGUUGGAUCGAAAGCCAGUGUUUGGGCACCUACAGCAAGAGGGCCCUCAGGAAGACUCUCAUAACCAUGUGCAAUAUGUUUUUAUUCUGACUCAUGGCUUGUGCUAGUUGUGUUUUUUUGGUUUGUUCCGAGUCGGGGGGAUACACUGUUCACGCAUCAGAACUGGGAGGUGUAAAGAACAACGGAGACAUUUUUUUUGUUUGUUUUAAGAAGAACCCAUUUUGGUUUUCUUGGCUUAUUUGCCCGUCAGUGCAGGAGACUGGCUCGGGGACUAUCAGGAAGGCGGCCAUGUGCUGCUGAAUUGGAUCCGAAGGUGAUUUUCAGAGCAGAUGAAGGCUUCGGUGUGGAAGCAGAAUAAGAAGAGGUAACGCGAAUAAGGCACCGGUGCUGCUGUGUCACAUGAGUGUGGGAAGACUACGCGUUUGUUUGUUGCUUUUCUCUUUUUCCUUUGCCAACCUCCUUCUAUUUAUAUGAGACUGGUUUGGAUUCCAAGUUGUUGUGUCUGUCUGGCCUGGGACUGGGGCUUGUGAAGGACCCCCCAGUAGAGCCUCACAGCCAGCCCAGCACGCAGAAGAAGGCGUCUUGCAAUAAACAGAUCACCUGCUCCUGGUCUCCGUUCUUUUCCUGGCCUUCGACUCUCAGCCAGCCCUGUCGGUGUCUCCGCUCCCGCCGAGAGGCUGUGGGGGGGUGGGCUCUACAAGACUGGCUCCGGUGGAGCUGGGCCUCUCUGGGGACACCCGGAGUAGAGCUUAACACCCCUGCCCUACCGCUAGUAGUCAGGGUUCCCCAGAGAAGCAGCCCAUCAUAUCUGAGAGAUUUAUUUAUUUGCUAUGUUUUAAUGUUUAUUUAUUUUUGAGAGAGAACGGGCACGUGCGUGCAUGAGCCGGGAAAUGGCAGAGAGAGAGCAAACGAGAAAGAAUCCCAAGCAGGCUCCAUACUGUCAGCACAGAGCUCAACACGGGGUUCAAACCCUCAAACUGCGAGAUCAUGACCUGAGCCGAAAUCAAGAUUUGGAUGUAUAUCCGACUGAGCUACCCAGGCACCCCAGAGAGAUUUAUUUUAAGGAAUUGGCUCACACAGUGGGGGCUGACAAGUUAGGAAUUUGUAGGGCAGGCCAGCAGGCUGGAAAUUCAGGUAAGAGUGGAUGUUUCAGUUGAGUCCAAAAUCUGUAGGGCAAGCCAGAAACUCAGGAUUUCUGUUACAGUCUCUGAAGCAGAAUUCCUUCUCCAGGAAACCUGUUUUUUGCUCUUAACAGCCUUCACCUGGCUGGAUGAGGCCCACCCACGUGGAGAGGAGUCUCCUUUACUUAAGGCCUACUGAUUGUUAAAUGUUAAUCACAUCUACAAAAUGCCUUCCCAGCAACAUCUAGAUUAGUGUCUGAACUGCCACACACCAUAGCCUAGCCAAGCUACCACGUAAAAUUCACCACAACCACUUACUAGCUGUCCGGAGGGAGUUGACUCAACUGUUCUGAGCCUUAGUCUUCUCACCUAUUAAAAUGGGGGUGAGAACACUUGCCUCACAGGGUUCUCAUGAGGAUUAAGCAACAUAAAGCAUGUCAAAGCCAAACACAAGGUCUACUUUAAGAUGUACCAUUAUUUUAUGCACCAGUGAGAGAAUUCAAGAAAAACUCACCAACUAAGCCAUGACAUAGUGUUUAAGAUACUGCUGAUUAAAUAGUGUACUCUUAUUUCAGGAACGUUAACACGUAAAAAUAUGUGUAUCAUAGAAUGGAUGGACUAUAUAUCUGCAAUUAUGGAGAGUGUCAGACUCUUUUCUGACAGGAAGAGAGCCCUGCCCUCUACCCACCCAGGUUCCUGCAGGAGAGCCAUCCUGGAGAUCUGGUGUCCGUGUGGAGCUGAGUGGUUCUCACUAAGCACGGAUGCCUUUAGUUAGGAAGGGGAGGUGUGGGGAGAGCUGCCCAGGGCAUGAAGCUGACGUCCAGCCCCAGGAGGUGUUUGGGAACCGUGUGUGUGGGCAGGCAGGGCUGGGCUGGGGGCAGUACUCUCCAUCUGCCAUGAUCAAGUCAGGCAAGGCAGGAAGCUAGUCUAGGUGUCGGGGACUCGACAAUAAGGCAAAUUCUGGGUUUACCAAGAAUACCCACUUUACUGUGCCUCUGUCUUUAGGCUUCAGGUUCUCCACCUGUUACCAUAGAGAUGGUUGAGUUGAUGGGUGGUUUUCGAGCACUAGAGGGAAACUGAGCCACAGAGGCCCUGGGCCCCUGCCUUUCUUCAACCAGAGGGAUCCGCUUGUACCUCUCCCACACAUGGGUGUUCUGUGUUAGAUUUCCUAAGUUCCCAUGCUGGGCAGUAGUUCGGAAAGCUUGAAAAACACAGAGAUGAUUGAGGUGCCUGGGUGGCUCAGUCGGUUGAGCAUCUGACUCUUGAUUUCGACUCAGAUCAUGAUCUCACGGUUCGUGAGUUCAAGCCCCACACUGGGCUUUGUGCUGACAGUGAGGAGCCUGCCUAGGAUUCUCUUCUCUUCUCUUCUCUCUCUCUCUCUCUCUCUCUCUCUCUCUCUCUCUCCCUCCCCCUCCCCCACUUGUACUAUCUCGCUCUCAAAAUAAAAACAAACAAAAAGAAAAGCAUAGAGGUGGCUUUAAAGGCCCUGCCAGGGCUGACAUCUAGUUCAGUCCAGAGAUUUUCAAACGUGAGCAAGCUGCAGAAUGACCUGAAAUCUCCAAGAGGAGUGGGGCCUGAGAAUCUGCGUUUUUAGCUGGCUUCCCAGGGAUUCAGAUGCAGGUUUUCUUUGAAGUUCCAAUAAAGGACUGAAUGUGCAGACCCUGGAUUGUGGGCCCAAAAGAGAGUAAGGAAACCGCAUCCCCGGCUGAAUUUCUGCACCAUCUGAGUUCCAGACCUAGACUUUGUUCCAUAUUUAGUUGUCUGUGUUUUAUGCAGUAUUUCUGUGUGAAAGAUUUGGACAUGCAGAUCCAUUUUCCUAGGAGAACCGGCUUCCCUUCAGGUUUAACAUCACCAGUGCCUGGAUUAGUGCCAGUCAAGGUUCCACUGCCCUCUGGGUUUAGAGUCCAUCUCUCCAAAGCCAUCUGUUGUGUCAUGUGAAUAGAAUACUCUUCUCCCUUAAUCCUUUAGAUCAGUGAUUCUCAGCAGAGCUCACUUUUGCCCCCUUGAGGACAUUUGGCAAUGCCUGGAGACAUAUUUGGUUGUCCCCACUGUGGUGGCUGGGGGCCAGUGGAUAGAGGGCAGGGAUGCUGCUCAACAUCCCACAGCCCAGGAAAGCCUCCACAAUAAGAACUGUCGAGUCCCAAACAACAACAGUACAAGGUUAAGAAACCUCAACUCCCGUGUCAUCUCCCAAAGAGGUCUCUGUAACAACCCUAGUCACUCAUUACUCUUCCUUUUCUCCAUAGCUGUUCAAGCCAUUUGAAAUGAUCUUUUUAGUUUGUGAACUUGGUUUGAUGGCUGUGCCCUAAGCUACUUUCCCCCCAGUAGAAUAUAAAGAAUAUUAUCACCUGGUAGUGGUGGCAGUAAUCAUAGCAGCUGACAUUUAUUGAGCAUUUACUAUGUAUGUAUAAAGUGCUAUACUAAGGCAUUUGCUCAUAUUUUUGGUAACCAUCUUAGUAACCCUACAAGGUAGGAACUGUUAUUGGCUAUAUUUUACAGAUCAGAGAAUGGGGAGACGGGUUAUUUGCCUGAGGACAGCAAUGGGGAAGGAAGGAGACACAAUUCAAACCCAGGCAGUCUGAAUCUGCCCUGCUGCCUUGUAGUACCUCAGUCAAGGGUUUUGGAUGAGUGAAAGGUAGCAUGACUGUCCCAGCGGGCCAUCUCACUCACCUGGUGGGGAAGACAUGACAGAAUAAUGGAUAUGGAUUCAUAAGAGUUGCCAGGCGUCCAUGCUCCUGAUGUACUGGGUGGCAGGCCUUCUCAGAGUGUGCUCACCAGCAAACAGAGAUAUAGAAACAGCUUCUUGCACAUCUACCAUGAGUAAUGUGAUUUAUGGCUCCAUCUGUCUGUCCCCAGCAGGCUCUGAUUUGGGAGGAGUUCCCUGAACCCCAUCUGUGAAGGUGGGAGCAGGCUUGGGGCUUUCCCAGAGCAUCCCCCGGGGAGGAACCUAACCUGUCUCUGGGCUGGCUCUGGCAAUCCCUGGCCCUAAGUGCCUAGGAAAGAAUCUAAUAGCCCUCAUUCACCUCAUUUUUUGUUCCUCAGGGAAGACUUUUGUGACUUGAAUUUCAGCAGAAAGGCCAUAGCAUUUUGCAGGAGUCUCAAGUCCAGAUGCCCGCCAGGACCAGGCAGGUAACAUAGUGAAUCCAGCUGGGUGAUUGAGAGGGUGUGAUGUGGUCAGUACUGUGUUGAAACCAGUGUCUCCCUAGAGGAUAUGGCUCCUACUCCGUUCUGGUCAAUUAUUGCCUUUCAAGGGUGUAAGCUCCACAUUGCGGAACCUUCAGGAACCUCUAGGAAACCUAUUAACUUUUCAUUUAAUUUAAAAAUUAAAUUAAAAAAAUUAUUAACACAACAGAAGACCAAUAAAACACAUCGUAAGUUAGAGUAGUUCUUGGGCUGGAAGCAUGCUACUUCUGGUAUAUAGACCAGAACAUUAGGCCAGGAGGUCUGAGUUUGUCUGCUCUUAGCUAGAUGACCUUGGAAAAAGCCACCUCUCCACUCUGACUUCUGUCUCCUCAUUUAUAAGGUGGGAAGGGUAUCAGCUUGGACUACAUUUCAGAUUUAUGAUAACAAAACAUGGAAUAUAUGGUAUCGUUAUUCAACAGUGAGUUCUGUGAGAAAGAAUGUGAAUAAGUCGGCCUCUCCCUUCUUUGGGGAUGCAGGUGAGUCUCUGAGCUUCACUUCUUCCAACCAAGCUCUAACUUCUAAGGAAGAACUGGGCCAGUUCUGACCAGUGUUUCAGGCUGCUGCCCUUGCCCGGGAUACAAGGGACAGGAUACACAGGAGGUCAUGCCUUCUGCAAAAGGAGGAUUGGGACUGGAGUAGUCAGUCUCCAAAGUUAUGCCUGGCUGGGGAGCACUUCACAGUGACAGUUCUCCAGGUCUGGGGUGCAGCCUGCGCUAUCCUCUCACCAGGACCCUCAGGAGAUGCUCAUGCACAGCCAGGUUUGCACGCUUCUCCCCGCUGUAAGUGCUCUGACCCUGUGUGUGCCCAUUCUCCCAGUAGAACCACCAAGAGAGUCCCUUAAUAGCUGUUUGGUGAGCACUUACUAUGUUCCAAGGCCUGUACUUGACACUUUCCUCAUGCUCUCUUACUCCCCCUAUUCUUUUUUUGUCCUCACAGCAUCACCCAGAGCUAAUAUUAUUAUCACCAUUUUCCAGAUGACGAUACUGGGGCUGAGGAAGGCUCAAGGUCUCAAUAUGGGUGAGUGGUAGAAAUGGGUUUCACAUUUAGAAAUGCUUGAGGAGCCCAUGUGACCUCCAACGCCAUGUCACCCCUAGAUGACACAUACACACGGCCACAAAAGCCCAAUCACUCAGGAUCUCACUGCCCACCCCUUGCCCCAACCGGCAACAUACACUCACACUUUCGUGAUCGCAGGGCAGCAGCUGGGUGGUGGAGCGCCACCUAGUGGUGGUCUUAAAAACUUCUCUCGAGGGGCGCCUAGGUGGCUGAAUCGGUUAAGCGUCCGACUUCAGCUCAAGUCAUGAUCUCACGGUGUGUGAGUUCGAGCCCCGCAUCAGGCUGUGUGUUGACAGUUCAGAGCCUGGAGCCUGCUUCGGAUUCUGUGUCUCUCUCUCUCUGUGUUCCUUCCCCGCUCACUCACUGGCUCUCUCUCUCAGAAAUAAAUACAAAUUUAAAGAUGCUUUUGAAAGUUCCUGUUCCACCAGAUGAGUUUGGUGGAGGGAGACCAUUGCCCUGGCAGAGUGAAAGAGAUGACUCCCAAGGGUCAGGAUGAAAGUCAUGCCUGGGGUAAAGGGCAGCAGAACUGAGGCCUGUGGAGGGGCCUCAAACAGCAUCUCAAACUAUAGCAUCUCAACCAGUGCAGGAAAAUGAUAGAGGCUUCUCUUUCUGGAAGCCAAUGAACAUGGGUUUUUACACUUUAUCCUUGCAACUCCCCUGUGAAGGAAGGGGAGGUCUUAGGGGCCUAUUUUACACAUGGACAAGAUAAGACACAUAAAUCCAGCAGCUUGCCCACGUGCCUUGAGUUAGUGAAGGAGGCAGCUAGCCCUUUCAUCACACUGGUUGAGAAUGACAGUGGUGAUGAUGGAGGUGAUGGUGGUCACGGUGGCAGCAGCUAAUAUUUGCUUGUAGCAAAUGCUUGUAGCAUGUCAGCUGUAUGAGCUAAGUACAUUAUUAUCCCCAUUUUCAGGUGAGGAAACAGAUUCAGAGGAAUGGAUGAACUUAGCCCAAGGUGACACAGCUUCUAAGUGGUAGAGGAGAGAUUCAAACCCUGGCAACGUGUCUCCAGCGCUAAAGCUCUUAACCAAUGUCCCUCCUACUGGCUGAGGAAGCCUCCUUGCUGAGAUGCCAGCAAAAUGGAUGCUUUGCUCCAGCACACCUCACUCCGUUUACCCUCCAAAGCUGGCCUGAGAAGCCAUAGCCUCCAUCAGCUGGCGACGCCCAACCCCACAUUCUCCUCAGAGACUCACUCUCUGCUGUGUGACCUUGGGCAAAUGGCUUCCCCUCUCUGAGUCUGUUUCCCUAUCUGUGAAAUACAGAGCUUAAACUAGUUGGGCUCUGAGGUCCUGCUAUUCUAAGUCUGUGAAUCUAUAAUGACACUGGCUUAAGAAUUUCUCUCCUGCUAACAAUUUGAAUUUGUCCUUGAAUCAGUUACCAAUCUAAAGACAGACUCACUCUCUCUCCUCUCCCUUCUCCUCCUCCUCCCUCUCCCUGCCUCCCUCUCCCCCUGCCCCCUCUCUCUUCUUUUCUCUUCUAUCCUCUCUCAUCUCCCUUCCUCCUCCUCUCGCUUUCUCUCAAUCUCUCAAUUUUCAGCCUAAUUAUGGCUAACUGUCUGUUAUUUAGAGACUUAUUAUCCAAGCUCAUUAUGAGUAAUUAUUCAGUCUGGAGGGGAAACAGCAACACUGCUAGUUUAAUUUAAUGCUUACCUAGUUCACUUAAUUAGCAAUAAGUCUUGGCAAAACGAUGGAAUGCAAGGGGUCCUGGCUUGGUGGGGGGUGGGGGAGGCUGAAUGCUGUUCUUGGGAAGAUAAACAAGUUUCAGGGCAGAAUGUGGGAGGAGGCAGGAGGGAGCUGCCAGUAAGCUGGGCCAUGCCAUCUGUCUAGACUGAGGAUGGCCCAUGACAGUGAAAGGUUGUACAUUACACGGACUGGAAGGGCCAUGUGUCAGGUGACACUUAUGAAGCACCUGCUGUGUGCCGGACCCUGUGUAAGGCUUUGAGCAAACCUUAUUUCUAAUGCCCCAUAUCUGGGACUUGCAUGCACAUUCUAGAUAAUUUAGAUAAUCGGCUCUCAUAGUGAGUAUGUUCUCUUUUUAGUAGCCUUGCAGUAAUUCUGAUUAGUCAAGGAAAACAUUGCCCGCUUGAUGCUGUUGUGUCUGCUACAUAUCUCUCUUCACAGAGGGAGGCCAUAGGUUCAGGGCUUUGGGCUGGCAACAGGAUCUCACUGUUGUUCAGCUUUGGCUUUUUUGAUAGUUUUCAUCUGUUCAUGACAAAUGAUGUUGGCUUUCCAUAUAUAGAAGUGAUGUAAAGUUUCUAUUGUAGCAAAAAUAAGUGAAUUGUCAUACAGAAAAAUAUGGGGUAAGAAGUCAAGGUGAGGAACACUGCCAAGGGGAGAGGAGAAUGGAAAAGGGUCCGUUCUGUGCUCUGUGUUAGGGAUUAUCUAGCCAGGAGGCAAGCCGACCCCAGUCCUCCACUCCCAUGCUCUAGACAGAUGCAAAAUCAGGCAGAGAUGACCCAGAUGCUGCCUCAGAAUCCUGGGCUGGGCUCCAGGCACCCACCAGGAGGUCAGAAUGACCCUUCUGACCACAUUUCCCAGCCAGCCAAAGCCCCUUGCAGUUUUUCCAGGGCAUCACUGUGCAAACCAGGACAUCCCAGCCCCUUCUAGUCCCUCUUGCCCCUCCCAUGGCCCCUUGGCCAUCUCAUACUCUCUGAUUUCUCCUCAGCCCUCAUUGGUCCUUCUGGUCCCCCUUUGUGCCACUAGGUAAACAGGCCCAGAAGGAUGCCUCCACGGCCAAUUAACAGCAGAGCCAUGGCAAUGCCAAAACACCUUCCUGGCUAAGCCCUGGUGUGUCCCUCCUUUGUCUGCCAGCCUUGGAGCCUAGGUCCACGGCCCUUUCCUGGAAGUGCCACACCUACUCCUACCCACCGUCUGACACACCUGCCCUGUGGCCCCUGUGAGAGUCUGUGUGUUACCUUUCCCAGGUGACAUCUAUCUGUCUAAAGGAGCCCUGUCUCCCUACCCACAGAAAGGUGGGUGGCAAGGUAGGGUGAGGGCACAUGGAAGUGUGCCCACCGUGCUUCUUGAACACCACCUUUGGCUACUUCCAGGGGGGUCAGGAGUAUUGCAGUCCACAUUCAAGCCUCCCCCUGCCAUGUUGCAGACUGCACAGGGUCUCAGGGCCAAGGUUUGGCCUAUGCAGCCAUCCUGAGUCCUCUCCCACCCCCAGCGAGCUAGAAACUGUCCCCAGACAGCAGAAAACAAAAAACAAAGACAAAGGUUUGGAGCAAACAAUGUCUGUUCUUAUCCCAGCGUUCACUGCUGGCUUCAUAGCCCCCUGGGAGCCCCGCCUGCUUGCUCAGGCCAGCCUCUUGCUCACACGCUCGUAGGUUACACCUCCGAUGGUGGAGAUCUGAAAGAAGCAGUGGGAACAGAGGGAGUCAGUGCAGGGGUUGCUAAGUGACAUGGGGCACAGCUGGAGGAGGACUGGCCUCAGUCCCAGCCCUGAGUAGAAGUGAGCAGUUGCACCACUCCUCUGAACUUCAGUUUCCCAAUUUGUUACACAAGUCACUGUGCAGACUCAAUGUGGCGAAAGUGCUAAACAGAUGUCAGGGCUGAUGUGGCUCUUUGUAGUAUAACCUUCCACCUGUCUGUUCAUUGAAGUUCACCCACUUCAGGCACUUGCCUUGCAUUAUCCCAUUUAAUCCUCCCAACAAUGGUGUAGGGUUGUGCCCAUUGUACAGAUGGGAAAACUGAAGUCUAGAGGAGUCAAGUAAGCCCUCUAAGAUCAAGAGGCCACAGCCUCUGCACACACAGCAUUUAUGGGGCACCUGUGUUCGGUAAUGGGAAGAUAGGGUCCCUGCCCCCAAGAAAGUGUAAGAUUUCUUGAGAGAGGCAGGUGAGAGGAUGCUGCUCCGUGAAGGCCCACUGUGUGCUGUGUCCUGGGCUUGAGGCCAUCAGGGACCCAACAUCGUGGGGCACAUACAUAUCAUCAAUUGGUCCUGAGACCCAACAGAGGAGGCUGCCUUCUCACGGGAAGUGGGAAGGUGGCAAAUGGAGUUUUGUCAAGGGCAGCAGUGUGAAGUGAUGUGUGAUUUGUACAUGGAGCAGGAUGGAGCAGAGGGGGAGCUGCAAGCAGGAAGGAGGCUGGGACUUGGUCUAGAGCCAUGGUGAGAACAUGGCAAGCGUUGCUGAUGGUGGCCUGGAGGGGGAGGACGGAUGCCCACCCAAGGCACUCCCUGCUGGUGGAGGACAGAGAAGUCCAGGAAGAUUCCAGCCUCUGGAAAUGGGAGAUGUGCCCACCAAGACAGCUUCUCUGUGGGGCUUGGUCUGUGUGCAUGUGCAUUUGUAUGUGUGCAUGCCAGUGCCCUGGUGCAUACAUGCAUAUGCACGUGUGUGUGUGUGUGUGUGUGUACACAUGUGACACCCUGAUCUCUGAGCACUGCUCACACCACAUAGGCUCCAUGGUCAGGAGACCUUAGGAAUCAGGAGACAGGUUUGUUCAGUUUGGGAAGAUAGAUCCUCUUGUUGGGCACAAACCUGCUUCUGGGUCUCUGCCCUCAGUUCUCCCCACACACCUCACAGUUUGGGGAGCUUUGCUUCUGGGAGUCAGAACCCACUGGCUGACAUUUCAUGUAAAAAUGUGUCCAAAGCUUUUACCAGAUUCUCUAAGAGAUCAGUUUCCAUCCAGGAAAAAAUGGAUAAUCACUUUUGAUCUUUUAUAUAUUUUUUAAAACACUGGGCAUCUUUUUCAUUUUUAGAUUAAAAAAAAAAAAUUAGAGACCCACCAGCCUGGGAAGAGCUGGCAGAGACCUAGUCUAGAAGUCAGCCAGUGGAAUCUGCCUCCAGCACAAACUAGCGUGUGGCUUUGGACAAGUUACAUGUUGUCUCUGAACCUCUAUGGCCAGUCUGUAAAAUGGGAAUAAUGAGAGGUCAUUGAGUCUCUUGGGCCUCUAGGCUGGGUUUGAGAUGAAGAAAAAAGGGAGAGAGAGAGAAAGAAAGAGAAAGAGAGAGGAGAAGGGGGCAACAAGGAGGUGGCAAACCCUACCUCCCUCAUCACUUCCCUUCUGGAGAGCCUUGGGGAGGGUAGACUGGACCCCAGGGAGCUCUGGCCCAAGACAUAGGAUCACAAGGUGGGGAAUGAAGUGUGGAAAUGCCUGCCUUUUGCUUUUAAUUUCACAUCCAUUUCUUUCACCUGGGGAAAAUUCUGGAACCCCGGGAAGAAGUAACGGCCUCCAAUCUGUGUUUACAGAGCACCAAGUAUGGGAAGGGGCCAUCCACAGAUGUGUGUGUUAGCCCUGCCUGCAUUUUUUAAAAGGAUUAAUUCAAUGCCAAUGUUUAAUAGUCUGGAGAUUUCACAAAGAAGUGCAAAUUUCCAGCUUCUCUUGAAAAAUCAGAAGGUCUAGCAGAAGGGCCUGGAGGAUGUGGAGCAGUAUGGUGGCUGCCCUUGCAGGGCCCACCCAGACUCCCCCCUUCACCUAAACUCUGGGCUUCCACACUUGUGCCCCGGCAGUGGCAGAACCAGACUGCCAAGCGUCAAUUCCCAGGACUGUCAUAGAAGCUAGGUGCCCUCCAGCUCACCGCUUAGCUCCCGGUGCUUCAGUCCCCUCACCUGGAAGAUGGAGAUAGAACCCCCACCUAACAGGUUGCUCUGAAGAUCAAACCAGAUGACCUACACUGGGUGCUCAGCACAGAGCCUGGCACACGGGACGUGCUCACAGAGCCAGGACCCAGAGGCCUGGCUCUCAGGGGCCAUGGCUGGAGGCAGAAGAGUGUUCUCAUCAUUAUCCCAGGAACGAGCAGGACACUCACCUCCACCAGCUUGUCACCCACGAUCUCCGAGGUCUGGUGAUAGUUAGGGAAGUCUGCCACUAUCUUCCCACCCUCCAUCUGCACGGUGGCCUGGGAGGGAAGCAUAACACUGAGCCUGAGUUGGCAGACACCCCCAAAUGCAGGCCAGCCCCCCAGGGAGGAAGGGCUACCUACAGCCAUCGCAGCCCCCUCUGGCAUUGUUUGCCUUGUAGAUAGAUAUACGAUGACCUAUGUCUGAAGAUACGGGUAACAAGCACGAGUCGUUCAACCUUGCUGUGCCUCAGUUUUCUCCCCUCUAAAGUGGGGGUAGUAACUGUACCUACUUCAGAGUUAUUACGAGGACUAAGCAAUUUCAUAUGACAUGUGUAAAGUGCUUGGCACGGUGCCUGGCACAUGGUGAGCACACCUUGUUAGCCACAGAGUUAGUUACGAUCCUCACUGAUAGGACAACGAUGAUGUCAGCCAAGGAUGUGGGUGCAGCUUCGUUUGUAAUUGUAAACAACCUAAAUAUCUAGUCUGGACUGUCCACUGGUAAGUAACCUAAAUAUCUUAUCAACGAGGGAGUGUUAGAUGAAUGGUAGGCUUUCCAUACUUUUUAAUGCAAGCAUUAAAAAGAAUAAGGCAAAUCAGUAUGUGCUGACUCAUUCAACCAUGAGAAAUGGUUGAAUUUUUUUAAAUACACAAGUGACAGAACAUGAACGUUAUGACUACUUCUUCUCCACUGGGGCAGCCUAAGGGAAAAGUACGCACAGUCAUGACUGGGGCUAUAGAGAGAGGGGACCCAGAAUGCACGGAAGACCUGAGGGACCAGGCUGGGUCAGAUGAGGACAGUCACCUUUUACUUCUUUCUUAUGUAAGAUUGUGGUUUCAAACCCACAUGAGUCUGAUUCUAGGAUUGUCAAUCUCUAGGCUACGUUGGAAGGCAGCAUGAAAAAAUGGUUAUGCUCUCUGAAGCCAGACUGCCUGGGUGUGAAUGUGCACCCAUGCUGUGGAACCGGGGCAAGAGGGCAAGCUGUUUAACCCCAUGGCUCAGCCUAAAUCCCUCAUCUGUAAAAUGGGAUAGUAAUUGUAGCAACUUUGUAGGCCUAACUGCAUUAACAUAUGUGAAGUAUUCAGCAGGUGUCUGGGAUAUAUUAAGUGCUUGGCACAUGUUAACAAUUUUUAACAAUUUCGUUACAGUGUCUGUUAUGGGGGUAGCAUUAAAAACCAGGAGUGGUUAAGUUGCCAAGUAACACAAGUGCUUAGGGGCUGGAGGCUAGACUUGAGAACAGAGCCUCAGCUUGGGGUAUAGCCCCAGGGGACACGCUUGAGACCAAGAAGUUAGCCAGAGGCUUGGGGAAGGAGGAAAUGGCAGCCAGUGGCCUCUCACCUUGAACUUCUUGCCCCCCACAGUCUCCAUGUCACAUUCUUUGCCGAUGGUGAACUUGUUGGUCAUGGAGUGGCCACUCGGGUAGUGCUGGGACCAGAUGAAAUUCUGUCCGUCCUGCUGCACCUCCGUGACAAUCUUGAAGUUUCGGCCCUUUUCGAUAACAUCGCUGGGGAGCCCUGGCCCAGGGACAAGUAGAGCAGCUGUGUAAGAGCUGCUUACAGCUUGUGGCUUUGAGAGAGGGCUUUCCUCCCUGGUGGCAGGCUAGCGCAAUGGUUAAGAACACAGAUCCUAGUUCUACCAUGAACCAUGAGCUUGGAUGAGUCAGUCACUACUUCUCUGAGCCUCAGUGUUUCCAUCAACAAAGUGGGGAUAAUAAGGCCCAUUUCACAGGGCUGUUGCAAGGUUGAAAUCAAAGUGAUAGUGUCUUGUAAAACUUCUGGCAUAUAAUUGACAAUAAAUAACAGCUGCUCUUCUGAUAGUACCGUAGCAUACACAGACUGCCAAGCUCACAAAGUCCUUGAACGAAUGGGACCACCAACACCGUCUCCUAAGGCUCUUACUUCACAGAUUAGACGAUGAAGACCUGGACCAGGAAAGGGGCUUCUCAGCAUCUCAGUGGAGGCUAGCAGCAGAACCAGGUCUAGCAUUCAGACUGGCUCCCUUCUAUUCCACGUGAGACUGUUGUAGGGGAAGCCAGGCACCAAUCCUUCAGGGCCACUUGCAAUAAUCGACCCAGAAGGACUCUUGUCUCCCCUGUGCCCUGCUCUCAGGGCCUCUCUGGCCACUGGGAGGUAGGGCAGAGAUCCCCGGGGCUGUCCCUUGACUCGUGACAAUGGCGCUGCCUCAGACUUAGAUAGUGCACCAAGACUUCUGCAGGAUUGUCAGGACCGCUGUCCUGUGGGUUCCUCACACCCAGUGCCACAAAUGGAGCGGUGAGAGGAGUGGCAUCUUUGAUCUCUUCCCGUAGUUCCUAGCACAGGAAGAGAGGCCUGUGUUUGUUGAAUGGCCAAGUGAAUGCAUGGCUUUUCAAGCCUGGUCUCUAUACCGACCUUUUGGUUACUUCUCCCCAGGCAGGAUGUGGUGGCCCCCCUCAUCAUCUCGUCAUAGGGCCCUGGAUUCUAAUGAUCUCUGUCCCUAAUUUACAGUGUGACCUUGAGGCACCCCAUCAGUAGCAUCAGGUUGGCCCUUGAAUAUAGCAGGUGUUCAGUAUACAUUUGAAUGAAUGAAUAAGCCAAUCAGGUCUCCACCUCACUAACUACUGGCUAUGUGACCUUCGACUAGUCACUCCACUCCUCUGGGCCUCAAAGAGUUUGGGUUCCUGGCCCCAAGCUGGCUGUGACAGACCAGCCCUGGGAAGGGGUACUCAUGCACUCACUCACCAAGACGCUUCAUGAACUCGUCAUAAUUCUUCUCACUCUCGAUCUCGUACUUGCCGCUGAAGGCCAUUCUGCUGGAGAGCUGGAGGGCAGACGGCAGGGGGAUGAGGGAGAAGGGUCGUGGUGCUGAGGGGCCUGGUGCCCCAGCUUAUAAACUCUUCCACAUGCUGGGGCUCGGCCCCUAAGUCACCCCACCUCUCCCUCCAGCCCCUGAAGAGGAAGCACUUGCCACUUUACAACGUGGGCAGGACCUAAGAGGAGCAGAGCCCUGAGGUUAGUCACCCUGGGGAAGAGCUGGCUAUAAGCCCACUGCCGCUCCCAGCAAGGAUGAGGGCAAUGCCGUGGCCUUUGAGGCCUCAUCCACCGCUGCCAUCCCACCCCCAAAACUUCCUCCUUGCUCUGCCCUCCAGCCACACUCUCGUCACCCCUUAUUUACUCGUUCACCCUCUCAUCCAUCGACCAAAGUGCACCAAGCACCUCCUGCAUGCGGGGCUGGCACUGAGGAAACACAGAUCCAUGAGACAUAUACCCUUCCCCAAAGAGCUCCGUGUCUAGUCCCGAGAUGAAACACCUGCCUGCAGAGAACCCUCAGCAGGCAGCAUGUUAGUCCUGAGACAGAUGCAGAUGUGUGGCCUAGGGCUCCAGGAAGGUGUGAGCUCUGCAGCUGGGGUCUGGUGCGUGUUUGUGUAGAUGGCAAUGCUGGUCCAGGAGGAACAAUAGAAUUUGGAUGUUUAUUUUCUUUUUCUCUUUUUAUUUUUUUUAAUGUUUAUUUUUGAGAGAGAGAGAGAGAGACAGAGUACGAGCGGGGGAGGGGCAGAGAGAGAAUGGGAGACACAGAAUCCGAGGCCGGCUCCAGGGAGCGGUCAGCACAGAACCCAAUGCGGGGCUCAAACUCACGAACUGUGAAAUCAAGACCUGAGCUGAAGUCCAACUAAUGCUUAACUGCUUAACUGACUGAGCCACCCAGGCAUCCCAUGGAUUUGGAUAUUUAAAGAAACAGGAGGGCUGGAGAACACGGGCCGAUGCUAUUCUAGGAUGAGCAGAAGCCUUCAGCUCUUCUCUGUUUCCUGUCUCAUCCUUGCUUUCUUUCUUACUGACCCUAAGUAUAGCACAUAAAUAAUAGCCAUGAUCACCAUGUAAAUACAAGAUUCCAUUCUGUUUUUCUUUGCUCAGCAUUAGUUUGUAAACACAGUCCCAUGUUUCUAUAAAGCUGCCUUUUUUUUUUAAGUUUAUUUAUUUUGAGAGAGAGAGAGAAUGAGCAGAGGAGGAGCAGAGAGAGAGGGAGAGAGAGGAUCUGAAGCAGGCUCUGUGCUAACAGCAGAGAGCCUGACAUGGGAUGUAACCCACGAACAGUGAGAUCAUGACCUGAGCCAAAGUCAGACACUUAACCAACUGAGCCACACAGGCACCCCCCCUUCACAUGAUUUUUUUAAAAAAACAUCUCCUUAAACAGAAGCCCCAGGAUGGGAUUCCAAAAUUAUGGGAUCUGGAAAAUUCUUAUAACUCUUAACAUGUUUUGCCAAGUUGGGACUGUAUUGGUGUGACAUCGAGCUUGUCUGGGUGCUGAAUUUCUUGGGACGCAGAGUUUAGACCAUCUUUGGCACUUUCCCCAAACAUACCAUCCCCCAACAUCUCAAACUAUGUCAUCUUGAUAAUCUAUUUCUUUUCUUUUUAAUAAACUUUAUGGUGUAAAGGGCUUUUAAUUUUCUGAUUAUAAAAGUAGUUGAUGUUCACAGUAGGAAAACUGGGAGGAACAAAGGACAAAUAAACUAAAAACUACCUAAAUCCCACCAAAGGGCCUUAUUUUUCAAUUGUAAAAUUAAUACAUACUCAUUGUUUAGAAAGACAAACACUCAGGGGCACCUGUGUGGCUCAGUUGGUUAAAUGUCUGACUCUCGAUUUCAGCUCAGGUCAUGACCUCACUGUUGGUGAGAUUGAGCCCUAUGUCAGGCUACACGCUUAAGAUUCUCUCUCUCUCCUUCUCUCUCUGCCCCUCCCCCACUUGUGGUCUCUCUCUCUCUCUCUCUCUCUCUCUCUCUCCCCCUCUCCCCCCCUCUCCCUCUCUCCCUCUCCUUUAAGAAUAAAUAAACAUUUAAAAAAGACACUCAGAAACUUUGUAAAGUAAAAGUGAAAGUCCCACAUCCCACUAUAUCUCAUUUUCAAGAAUCAGUUGCUGUUAAGUUCAGAAUAUAUAGCCUUCUAGACAUUUCCCACAUGCAUACAAAUAUAUUUUCUUUUUAACAAAAAUGAAAUCCCAUGAUACUGUUUUAUCUUGAUUUUUUUCCAUGGACAUUAAUGGAUCUUAUUUCUUCAUGGAAACUGAAAAAUAUCCUAUUCACUUUUUAAAAAGUGUUUUAUGUUUAUUUAUUUUUUGAGAGACAGAAAGAGACCAAGCUGGGGAGGGGCAAGGAGAGAGGGAGAGAGAAAUCCCAAGUAGGCUAUGUGCUGUCAGCACAGAUCCUGAUGCAGGGCUCGAACUCAAUGAACUGUGAGAUCAUGACCUGAGCCAAAACCAAGAGUCGGAUGCUUAACCGACUGAGCCACCCAGGUGUGCCCCCAUUCAUUAUUAAGUGACAUUCCAAAUGGAUAAAUCAACUAAGAGUACAUUAUGUCACCUGGUCUAGGCAUGGGAAAACAUGGAGCAAUUGCCAUCUCCCAUAAACCUUGGAGGAAAAUAAUUUCACCGCAGUAACUGGCAUGUAAGUUAGGUAGAAGGUGACAGCUGACAGGCAAGCUAGGGAGGCUUAGGGGAUGGCGUAUAGUCUCCUAGAUUCCUCUGAGGUCUCUAGUCUUGGAGGAAGUGUGUACUUUGCAGAGUUCCACCUUCGUGCCUUGGCCUGCCUGGACUGACUGCUCACCUUUCAUCUGUCUUUCCAAAUUCUAACUGUCCUUCCAACUCUGCUUCCUCUAGGGAUCCUUCCCUGAUUCCUCCAACCUAUAGAAUGUCUCUUGCAGGAAUCCCCAUAGUGUGUACCAUCUGCUUGUAAUGGCUCACGGGGAGACCUGGACUUUACAGUCAUAUGCAUUAGUCUUCAUAUAUUAGCUCAGAGACUUCAGACACACUGCUUUCAUUCACUCAGCAGACAUUAGCUGAGCACCUAGUAUGUACUAGACUCUGGAACUGCCAAGUAUCUGCCCUCAAGUCUCAUGGGGGACUCAGGCUAGAAAACAGGGAGUUACAACCCAGUGUGAUAAAUGAGAUAAAGGCCAUAACAUGGGGAUAUUGUAGAAAAUAGAGAUGUGGGGUGCCUGGGUGGCUCAGUCGGUUAAGCGUCUGACUUCGGCUCAGGUCAUGAUCUCACAGUCCCGAGUUCGAGCCCCACGUCGGGCUCUGUGCUGACUGCUCAGAGCCUGGAGCCUGUUUCGGAUUCUGUGUCUCCCUCUCUCUGACCCUCCCCCAUUCAUGCUCUGUCUCUCUCUGUCUCAAAAAUAAAUAAACGUUAAAAAAAAAAUUAAAAAAAAAAAAAAAGAAAAUAGAGAUGUGAGCCUGACCACCUCCUAAGGAUCAGGGAAAGCUGAUCUGAGAAGAAUUGACCAAUAAGCCAAAACCUCAACUUACUCAUUAUUAAAUGGGGAUUUUUAAAAAGCCAUCUUCCAGAGUUUUAAUGAAAUUAAAUGAGUACAUAAAUAAGGUGCUUAGCACAGGAUCUAGUAUUUCAUAAGUGCUCGUUGAAUGAUACUGUUAUGCCCACUCAUUGGCAAUUUGUCCAGCCUUUUGAAUUUGCUUGUUGUUUUGAAUUAAUAUUUAUUUAUUGUAGCAUUAAUUUAAUUCUUCACAAAGCAUGUCUUUUGUGGCCCAAUUAGAUUGUAAUCCCUUCACGUAUAGAAGCUACAUUUCAUACUUCCUUGUGAAUGUGUACGUGAGAGACACUGGAAUACCACUGAUUUCAUUUUAUUUGUUCAGAUCAGUCUACAAUAGGCUGUGAGGUUGUGUUCUGUACAGUGUGGUCCUCAUCAUACACUGCUAAGGGUGUGGGAGAAGAAGACUUGUGAAAAAUAGAAAUUCCUGGGCUCUCCGGUGCCUGGGUGGCUCAGUCAGUUAAAAUGUACGACUCUUGACUUUGGCUCAGGUCAUGAUCUUAGGGUUCAUGAGAUCAGUACCACAUUGGGCUCUGUACUGACAGUGCAGAACCUGCUUGGGAUUCUCUCUCUCCCUCUCUCUCUGCCCCGCCCCUGCUUGUUUCUCUCUCGUGCGUGCACGCUCUCUCGCUCUCUCUCAAAAUAAAUAAAUAAACUUUUUUUUUUUAAAGAAAUUCCUGGGCUCUGACCCCCAGAAGUUCUGACUUCGUAGGUCUGGGUGGGGCCCUGGAAUCUGCAUUUGACACACCCCCAGUGGUUGUGCUGCACAGUUACCCUGAGGAGCUGCAGGCCAGGGGAUGUGGGCAGGAUGGACCAGACAGCCUCUCCAGGGCCCUCCAGCUUCCUCUCCCAUUGACUUCCUUCUGCAUGGUCAAAACUGUUUUCUCCUAAAUAGCAUCAAGGGCAGGACCGGCGAGGUGGGGGGUGUGGGAAAGAACAACACUGGCACCCGGAUGCCUGACUCAGCUGUGCUCCUCCUCUCCCCUUCACUGGAGUUUAUGUGUGCGUCUGACCCUUCACCCCUUCUCCACCUGCGCCCUGCCUCUUUUCCUCUUCAGCUGGGGUUCACGUAUUUGUUCAGACACUCACUGAGAACUUUCCAAGAGCGGUAAAUGAACUCAAACUGCCUCCAUAUCUCAGUGAGUUUUUAUGGGGCAAUUGAACUAACAGAGAGAGACUCUACCCCAAUGGAGAUCAAGUAGGGCUCCAAGGCCAAUCCCCUGGGCCACUCCAACUUCCCACCUGCACUCUGGCUCCUACCUCAAAUCAGCCACCAUUAUUCUGAGAGUAGCUAGCCUAGGGAGUGGGAAAUGCAGAUGCUUUAGUCCAUGGUUGGAGCAGUAGCCUUCCUCCUAACCCCCCCCCCCCCCACCUCAGAACCUUCCAGUGCCUUGCAUGGAAUAAGAGACUGAUCAGGGUUACACAUUCCUUAAUCAAACUUCCUUCCUCUUCUUUCCUCAACCAAAAAUCUGAAGUGCUUCUUGGGGUUCAUCCUAGAGUGUCAAGGCUAAAUGGGAUCUCUGAGGGCAAUUUAUUCCAUGAUGAUUCUCCCAGCUCUCCUCUCAGGACUCAGCAUUCCCUUGGAGCUUCCAGUCAGUACUUUGUUUACCCACAGUUGGAAGCAGAAGAGAUGGAGACUCUGAGGCCAGAAGGCCUGGGUCUGAAUCCCAAUCUGCCAUUCACCGGCUGUGUGACCUUGGGCAAGUCAUGUAUCUUCCUGUAUUUUUGUUUUCCCAUGAGUUAAUUAAAUAAGUUAAUCUCUGGAAAGCAUUUUCUGCAGAGCCUGGCACAGACUACAGACAUACUUUGUUUUGUUGCACUUUGCUUUAUUGUGUUUUGCAGAUACUGCACUUUUUACAAAUUGAAGGUCAGGGCAACCCCAAGUCAAGCAAGUCUACCGGCCCCAUUUUUCCAACAGCACUUGCUCACUUUGGGUCUCUGUGUCACAUUUUGGUAAUUCUAGCAAUGUUUCAAACUUUUUCAUUACCAUUAUAUUUCUGAUGGUGAGCUGUGAUCAGUAAUUAUGACUGGAAGCCCAGACGAUGGUUAGAAUUUUUAGCAAUAAAACGUUUUAUCAUUAGGAUAUGUACAUUGUUGUUUUUUUUUUUUUUCAGACAUAGUGCUAUUGCACACUUAAUAGACUAGAGCACGGUGUAAAUAUAACUUCUAUAUGUGCUAGGAAACCAAAAACUUAAUUUGACUCACUUUGUUUUGAUAUUCGCUUUAUUGCAGUGGUCUGGGACUGAACCCACAACAUCUCUAAGAGUUGCCUGUAGAUAAGGAGAUUGAAGUUCACAGAGGUGAAGAGAUUUGCCCAAGGUCACUGGGCGCCAGAAUGGAAAUGGAACUCACAUCUCCAGACCCCCAAGUGAGUUCUCCCUCCAGCUCACCUCUCAUUUACUGCCUGGUAUGCUUCUCAUGUGCACAUGGCUCGUAUUUCACUCCUAGGUCAGCCAUCCCUUGAGGAUGAAGCUAUUUCUAUGACCCUCUUUACCUCUUUGACUGCCUUUGGUUCAGAGGGUGGGCUCCAAGGCUUUCUUGGUAAGGGCAGGGCAGGCCUCCUGAAGGCACCGAGAACAUUCUCUCAUGAACAAGUUGCUUCUCCCUGAAAUUUUCUCUUUAGUCCCAGUUUCUUACAACCACCUUUAUACUUCUAGCUAAAACGUAAAUUAAACUUUUCUUAAAGUCUGAAAUCAUUUUCUCAGGGUGAUAAAAGUAAGCAAUGCUUUUUGCAUAAAAUUCAGAAAAAUGCAGAAAAGUCUAAAGAACAUUAAGGGUCAGGGCGCCUGGGUGGCUCAGUUGGUUAAGUGUCCAACUUCAGCUUGGGUCACGAUCUUGUGGUUCAUGAUUUCAAGCCCCAUGUCAGGCUCAGUGCUGACAGCUUGGAGCCUGGAGCCUGCUUUGGAUUCUGUGUCUCCCUCUCUCUGCCCCUUCCCCACUCAAGCUCUGUCUGUCUCUCUCUCUCUCUCAAAAAUAAAUAAACAAAAAUUAAAAAAAAAAAAAUUUUAAUGGUGUGCCUGGGUAACUCAGUCGGUUAAGCAUCAGACAUCAGCUCAAGUCAUGAUCUCGCGGUUCAUGGGUUCAAGCCCCACAUGGGGCUCUCUGCUGACAGCUCAGAGCCUGGAGCCUGCUUUAGAUUCUGCGUCUCCUUCUCUCUCUGCCCCUCCCCCAUUUGCACUCUGUCACUCUCUCUCUCUUUCUCUCUCUCUCUCAAAAAUAAAUAUUUUAAACAUAAAAAAAGCUUAUACAAUGCUAAAAAAAAUUAAAAAGAACAAAGUUUGUUUUAAAACAAAUAAAAUACAAUAAUAAAGAACAUAAGGGGCAUCUGUAACCCUAUCACUCAGAUGUAACUAUUGUUUGACAGUUGGUAUAUAUAUCCUUUGAGAACUUAUGAUAGGCACAUAUAAAUAUACAUACAAACAUUUUAUUCACAGUGUGAUUCUACUAUAUGUGCUACUUUGGAAAUUGCUUUUUUUUUUUUUUUAAGAUUUUAUUUUUAAGUAAUCUCUACACACCCACCAUGGGGCCUGAAGUCACAGCCCUGAGAUCAAGAGUCACAUGCUACACUGACUGAGCCAGCCAGACUCCCCUGGAAAUUGCUUUUUAUUAAACUUAGCAACAUGAAAUUUCUGAAAGAUGAAUUUACAUUGUCAAAUAAUAAAAUCUAACCUAACAAGAAUACUCUCGGUAACUACUCUGGGUUAUGAGAAGAUACAAAAGAAGGAGAAUUUAGAGAAUAAAUCCCAAAUAACCUCAUCCACAAGCCAGAAAGCAAAGGUACUUAUUGCUACCUAUCUUCCACAACAUCUCCAUUAUCAAUGUGCCUUAUCAAGCUCUAAGUGCAAAGUCACAUGGCACCAGGCACCCUGGGAGUUUAAAGGUAAACCCAGGGGCCUGAUACGGCCCUUGCCCAGCUCCCCAAGCUCAUUUUCUGUUAUGCCCUCACUCUCUGCUGCAAACUCAUCAUCACUGGACACACACCACCCACCAACACACAGACACACACUCACUAUGUGCUCUUUUAUACCUCCUUGCGUUUACACAUACUAUUCUCUCUACCUGGAAUACACAGUGGUGUAAUUAGUGAGAGCUCACUUUUGUGCAAUAACCAAUUCAAUUGUUUGCCUAGGAGGUAAACAAAGAGAGCUCCUUGGAGGGCAAAGCAGGUUUUGUGCAAAUGUGGAAGGAAGUGCUGGGCGGGUGGGGGGAAGGUUUUCUUCCCCUCUGAGGUGGAAACAAACUCAUCCCGGCCUUCCCCGGUGCUGUAUUUAGUUCAGCUCCCAUGACCAUCGGGCUGCUGUGCACAGUCAAGCCACCUGAAACUGACUUCCUGAUUCCUGGGCCGUGUUCUGGUCUGCAAGUCCCUGUCUCCUAACUCUCUCCAGAACUUUCUGUCAGUCCUGGGUGAGGUGCUGUUGGCCUCUGCCAGUGGUUUCUCAGCUUGCUCCCAGCCAAGUAGACCCUUGGAGCUGUGGGUAUGUUCACUAUGGCUGUUCAGAUGUGGGAAGGAAUGGGUAAAUUCAUGUUGACAUCGAUGUGACCCAUAUGUGUGUCUGUGUGCCUAUGUGUGCAAAAAUGCAUACUGCCCAGGUGCAUUUACAUCUGUGAUACUGCAGUGGAAAUCGCAUGCAUGUGUGAGAAAGUAUAUGUAUGUACAUAUAUACAUAUAUCCCUAUGUCUGUGUGUAGGAGGAUGCAUGCUUUCCCUGUGUAUAGGUAUGUAUGCAUACGAAGCACAGAGCACAUGUGCUUAGCUGUGGUUCUCUGUGAAUGGCUUGGACCUGUUUGUAUACUGGCAUGUGGGAGUGUUUAUUUACCGAAGGGAAGGGAGAUGUUGGUUGGAUGCGGUAGACUACAAGUGGAAAACAAACAAAGCAAGUAAAAACCCUCAAACAAUAAAUAAAGUUAUUAUCUUACAUAACAGGAGUUCCAGACGUGGGGAGGAAGGACUCUCAAGAUGACUGAUUGCAUUGAUCAAAAUAUCUUUAAGAACCUGUUCUUUCCACCUCUCCACUAUGCUUGAUUCUAUAUCCUUCUGGUCACAGAGUGACUGCAAUAUUUCCAAAUCACACACUCAGACAUGAAGAAUCCGGUAACAGAUAAAUGCAUCUUUGCUUUUGGGGUGACUUUCCUAAGAAGGAGGAAGUUGUCCCCAGAAGCCCCAAUCCUACUCCCCCCACCAUGCCUCAUUGGCUAGAACUUGGUUACAUGGUCAAAGCUAAACCAAUCUCUGUUAAGAGAACUGAGACCACCAAUUCCACUUAAACUAAUUAGGCCCCCUCCUGGAACUAAGGAUGGAAUUAGCUUUUCAAAGCCCAAGGCUGCUCAGAGGAAUGGCAGUCAUUUGACAGAGUUUUGUCAGGAAGACAAAUGUGUGGGCACCUGGCUGGAUGAGUGGGUAGAGCAUGGGACUCUUCAUCUUGAGGUCAUUACUUAAAAAAAUAAAAACAGGGGCUCCUGGGUGGCUCAGUUGGGUUAAGCAUCUGACUCUUGAUUUCGGCUCAGGUCAUGAUCUCAUGUUUCAUGAGUUCGAGCCCCACAUCAGGCUCUGUGCUGACAGUGAGGAACCUGCUUGAGAUUCUCUCUCUCUCUUUCUCUCUCUGCCCCUCCCCCACUCUUUCUCUCUCUCAAAAAAAAAAAAUAAACAUGAAAAAAAAACAGUGUUAAAAAGGAAGACAAAUGGGAAUGGAUGUCGGGUAGACAGUCAAUAGUGUCUAGUACAAAGGUGUGUGUAUGUAUGCGAGCAUGUCUGUAAGUGUACAUGAGUCUGUGUGUAUAUAAACAUAAGUAAGUAUACAAUAUGUAUGGGUGUUUCAAUUGCCUAUUGUUGCAUAACAAACCAUUCCAAAACAUAGUGGCUUAAAACAACAAAGCUUUAUCAGUUCCCAUGAUUCUGUGGGUCAGGAAUUUGGGCAAGGUGUGCCAGGGUGGUCAUCUCCACAUGGCAUCUUCUGUGGUCACUCACAAAGCUAUAUUCCACGAGUAGCUGGGCUGAGCUGGAAGGUCUAAGGCUUCCCUUACACGUCUGACACAGUGUUCCUCUGCACAGUUCCUCUCUCUCCUUACAUGACUAGUUUGGGCUUCCUCACAGCAUAGUGGCCUCAGGAAGGGUGAAUUUCUUAAAUGGCAGCUGACUUCCAACAAGGUAGAAGCAAAAACUCCCAGUCAUUUUGUUUUAUUUUGUUUUGGGGUUUUUUGUUUUUUUGUUUUUUUUUUUUUUGCCAGUCCUCUUAAAACCUGGAUUUAGAACUCUCAGAAUGUUACUUCUACCACAAGUAUUCAAGAGGAGGGAAAUAGAAUUUGCCUUUUGAUAGGUGGGAAAGGAUGCACAGGCAGAAGAGAAAAGAAUCAAUGGCAGCCAUCUUUGGAAAUGAUCUACAACAGUAGGAAUAUGUAUUGAACAUGAAGAUAGGCGUGUGUGAGUGUGUGCAUUUUUGUUUGUAUGUGUGUAUUAAGUCAUGUAGGUAUAUGUAUGUAAGUGUACGUGUGCCAGUUAACACAUGCAUGCCUGUUUAUGUGCAUAUAUGUACAUGCAGAUGGGUAUUUGUGGAGGGAUGUGCAUGUACACAUAAGGAGAGAUGCACAUGUGUAUAGGGGCGACUGUCCACCUGAGCUAGGGGCUUGCGCCAGUAAGGAAAGCUGGUGGAGUUGACCUGUCCUAGCUGUGGCCUUCCUGGGUAGAUAUGCUGAGACUGCCAGUCUUGGCCAAGGUAACAAUCUAAUCAUUACUAGGAUUUUGUCCUUGACUAGUAGGCUGGGGGUCCCAAGCCAGGCAUAAGACUCAGCCUUUAUCAUAACCUCACUAAAACCACACUGAUAGCAGUGGAGAAGGACCCUCUACAAUUUUUUUUUUUUUAAUUAUUCCCUGAGGUUCUGGGGUUUUCUACGUAGGGAACUACUGGCUCCAUGAUCCCCACCCCAUCCCAGCCUUGCCCUUGGAGCUGUAAACCUCAUGACAGGAUUUCAGAGACAGUAGUAAGCCCAAGUUUCAAGGCUGCUCACAGGGUGGCGCUGAACCCUUGGCUUCUCUUUCACAGCACGUUUCCCAGUAAAGAAACUAUGAUGGGAUGGCAGGACAGGAAGCAGGAGGACUUGGAGGCUUGGGACUCUCUCUCUCCCUCUCUGCCCCUCCCCAGCUCACAUACUCUCUCUCUCUCUACCUCUCUUUCAAAAAUAAAUAAACUUAAAAAAAAAAAAAAAAAAAAAAGAGGCUGGCACUUCUGCAGCCUGAGUUCAGAGAGGUUAGGGAACACACCCACAGUGAUCCAGCUCUCAAAUCAUAGAGUCAGGAUUUGAUCCUAGACUUAACACUGUGUUUCAUGGCCUCGACUUCCACCUCAGAAAGUCACAUGGCCUGUGACUGUGCAGUGAGGGGCUUGAAAAGGAACUGGUUGGGGUAGGGCAUGUGGGGACGUGGGCCCCUCUCCACGGACCAUGUUCGGUUCCACUUCUUGCAGGAAAGCCUGAAUCCCCAGCAAUCUUCCCUAUUUUGGGGGCUGGUUUUGUGUUUCAGGCUAGGCACCCUGGCGUCUGGCUGUAGGGCUUACCACAGAACAGGGUGCGCAGCGGGUUUGCUGACGGAGACGAGGCAGAGGAGCUUAGGUGAAGGGUGGGGGAAGCUGGGUAAAGACAGAGAGAGAGGCCCCAGCAGGCAGGACAGAGCCAAGGCUGGCUAACAGCCCCACGCACUGCUCCCUUCUCCCGCCCCAAGCCUCUGGCUGCCACAGAUGCCGUGACCUGGAGCGCCCUCUGGUGGUGCACUCUGCAGCCUGGCCUGCUAAGGCCCAUGGGGGUCUGGUCCAGGGAAGAGGGGCUGCCCCUUUUGUCCACACUCAUCUCUGGGGGGGCUGGCUGGCCUGCCACUAUACCGGGGAGUGUCCUUCCUCGGAGGAAAGCCAGCUCGAUAAUAGUAACAACGAGGCAAUCACAGAAAGAGUCACAAAGGGACUGCUGGAAGGAGGAAAAGGACUCUUGAAGCCAUGACUGGCCCAUCAGAGUUACAGAAAAGGUGUAACAAACCCCGCAUGUGGCCUCCCCACUGUGACCUGGGACAGCAUAGCAUUUGCACCAACGACGUCUUGGCACCUUCACAGGGCUGCCGGGGUCAGCAUCUGUUGCCCUAUCACCAGCGGCUGGGCCAGCCUCAGCCUGUGAGCCUCCCUGAGGCAGAGGACAAAGCCUGCAAUGAGACGGAGCCAUAGGGUAGAAAGGGGUUCUUGAGGGGCAACUGGGUGUCUCAGUCAGUUAAGCAUCUGACUUUGGCUCAGGUCAUGAUCUCACGGUUGGUGAGUUCGAGCCCCACGUUGGGCUCUGUGCUAACAAAACAGCUCACAGCCUGGAGCCUGCUUCAGAUUCUUUAUCUCUCUGUCUCUCUUCCCAUCCCCCGCUCAUGCUCUGCCUCUCUCUGUCUCUCAAAAAUUAAUAAAUGUUAAAAAAAAUUAAUAAAAAAAUUUUUUUAAAAAGGGGCUCUUCAGAUCAUCUUAUCACUUGUUCCUUGUCUAUUCUAAAUCUUCUUGAUCCCCUACUAUGUGCAGACACACAGGUCCCGAGGAUAUGGAAAUUAACAAUAGGCAAGGUCCCUGACUUCCGGGAAUAGAGAUCCCAGGCCAGGAGAAUCAAACAACAAAGGAACAAGGUCAAAAGUGCUGGGAACACCACACAAGGGCGUGAUGUGCCAGUGUCUAAGGAGGUCCUUUUCAGACUAGUGGGCAGGGAAGGCCUGGUAAGAAUUUUUGGUGUAGAGACUUUAAUGCUUAGGACACAGGACUGUGAAUAGCGAGCAGAGAAACUUCUGGCAAAAGUUCAGCUUGUACCAAAGCUGGGGUGGGGGGUGAUCUCAGUAUAUUGCAGGAAUAGAAGGAAAGACAGGGUGGGGUGAAAGAAAGAGCAAGAAGGGCUGAGGUCAGAGAGAGGGCAGGGACCACACAGGCUCCAAGGCUGUGCCAGAGACUUGAUUUGAUCCUGAGGGCUGAGGCUGUCAUUGGAGGGCUUUGACCCUGAGGACGGUGUGAUCCGAUUUGCAUUUUUAAUAGGUCGUGCCUUUUGUCUUUUGGAGAAUAAAGGAUAGAGAGAAUGAGGGUGAAAGCAAGGAGGCCAGCUAGGAAGUGACUCCAGGUCUCCAGAUAUAGAGAUGGUUGCUGAAAUGGGGCAGGGAAGAGUCAUGUUCUGAUGAAUCUUAGGGCCACAGUGGAUAGUAGAUGGUGGGAAGGACCUGCUGGUGGAUUGUCUGGGAGAGGCUGGGAGAGCCGAGACCAGGCUGGGUGCCUUCCCUCCCACUCCACAUCUUCUAGCCUGGGUAUGGGCCCUACUGAGUCAUCUCCCUCAGCUCACUUCCAGGAGGGGUGAAGGACCUUAGACUCCACUGCCAGAGACCCCCAGGCCUGGAUCUUGUGUGGGUGUGUUCAGACACUAGGGACCUGGGGACCCGAGGUGCUUUCAGCAUUCUAUAGCUCUCUCUCCCUCCUCUGCAGUCUCUCAUUCUCCUCCCUGGGUCCCUCCCUUUGCCCCCACCCCCUUCCUCUCUCUCUGUCUCUCUCUCUCUCUCUCUCUCUCACACACACACACACACACACACACAUACACACACACUCACACACAUACACGCAGUUUACUGCAGCCUUAUCAGAAGGAAGCCUCCAGCAGAAACAAGGGGUCUCCAGGGACACAGCAAGAGGCGCUGACUGUGGAGUUUUCCAAGGAGGGGGAGGCAGGCUGUGCUGCCUUCCACAUUCCUUCCUCCGGUCCCUGCUGCUUCCACAGUACCCUCCUGGCUCUUGCAGCAAGAGAAGCUGUGGUUCCCAGCUAGAGGCGAUUUUGUCUUGGGGCAUUUGGCAGUCCCUGGAAGCAUUUUUGGUUGUCACAAGUGGGGAGGGAGCGAGACAGGCAUCUAGCGGGUAGAGGCCGCUGAACCUCCUACAAGGCACGUGACAGCCCCCACCAUAAAGAAUGGUCUGGCCCCAGAUGUCAACAGUGCUGAGGGUGAGAGAAACUGCCCUAGGCUCACUGCCAUCAAAAAUGGAAGAGACUGUCCUCUUCCCUGGUCCUGCUGUCAUCACGCUGCCAUGGAUCAGGUGGUGGCCAUGUGGCCGUGCUGUGGCUUCCUUUUCUCCCUUAGUCCUCUCAGCUACACAGUGAGGUAGGUAGUAGUAUUCGCCCAAGGUCACUCAGUCAGUGAGAGGCCUGGUAUUCAGAUGCUAAAGCCUGAGGUUUCACUGCCCCCUCCCUCAAGAACACAUUUCACAGGGAGAGUCACUGUGGUUAGCAAAGGGACACUCUGUUUCAAGUGAAGUCUUACUGGGAAGUCUAAAGUGUAAGAGGUAAAGUAGGACUGCCUAGGUUGAGGCAGCCUGGGAGAUUAUCAAAGCCCCCACACCCUCACCCCUGCACUUCACCCUUCAAGGCCCGUACCCUUGAACCUCUAAGGCCAUCUCUCUACUCUGGGCCACCGCGGAGGGCUACACGGGUUGUGCUCUGCAAAAUGGGGGACACCGUUCCUGUGAGCUACCUUGUGAGGCUGGUAGGGUUAAGGCAAAGCUACGUUUAGGGCAGGGGUGGCAAAUAGGUUUCAUUUCGAGUGUGAACAUGCAUUGCUUGUUAGACAAGGUGCCAUGAAUAAUUAAUGGGGUCAGGAGCUUCGGGAAGGAGGUGUGAGGUAGCUGUGAAUGCUGAGUAUCUGCCUUCCCUGUUCUAAGAUAUAGGAAAUAGGAAAUUGAACCUUACUAGGAGAUAUCUUGCCCCUCUCCUUGCAACUCAGUGGUGAAUCCAAAAUGGAGCUGUCAACCCUAUAUUGAAAACACACAUGUACACACACACACACACACACACACACACACACAGACUGGAGGCCCCUAUACAUGGCAGUCCCCAAGAAGAGCCUCCAGCAGGCCCUGGAUCGGGGAACCAGCUCUGCCUCUUUCCCAGAACCCUGUCAGGUUUGAUUUUUGGGUGCUUCUGACAUUUGUCUUAACCUAAUAUUGAUGUAGAAUCCUGUUUGGGCAGAGAGAGGCUGCCAUUGAGAUUUUUUUUUCCACUUACUCACAACCCUUUGGUGGGGAAGGUUUGGAGCUAGAACUGGCAGAAUGAGCCAGAUUAAGGAUGCCCCUUCACCAGGUCCCACACUGGAGUAAGAUCCUCCCUCUUGAGGGCCUCAGAGUCUUCCCACCCUUUGUCAGUGGCAUCUCUGGGGAUCUGGCCAGGAGGACCAGAAAAGACCUUGUAAUGCAGGACAGCAGGCACUGUCUGUUCUCUCUGCAGGGGGUUUCCCAGCUGCCCUGGAGCCUGGGAAUCUUCCAGCCUGGGAUGAAUCAUCCUGGCCCUCUGCCUUCACCCCCUCCAUUGCUCUGCCUGGACCCAGCUACAGAGUGAGGCCACUAAGGCCAAAACUGAUGUUCUCCCUUCUCUGUGGCUAGAGAGGCCAGGAGAUGCAAGCUGCAGCCUCUCUAGGACACCAUACCACAAAGAGAAGAGUGGUACAGGGAGGGGCUAACAGAAGCUGACCUCCAGGAGGAGAGGGAGGGAGACCCGUCAUGCAUUGCGAUGUGUACUACAGCGGCCCUAUUUCAAGAAACAAUUAACAAGAGAAAGCAUCAAGGGGUGGGUGGCUGGCUCAGUCAUAGGCAUGCUGCUCUUGUUCUUGGGGUCAUGAGUUCGAGCCCCAUGUUGGGCAUAGAGUUUACUUAAAAUUUUGUUGUAAAAAAAUGGUAAAUCAGUGAGUGAGGUGCCUGGGUGGCUCAGUAGGUUAAGUGUCCGACUUUAGCUCAGGUCAUGAUCUUGUGGUUCAUGAGUUCCAGCCCCACGUUGGGCUCUGUAACAGCUCAGAGCCCUGGAGCCUGCUUCAGAUACUGUGCCUCCCUUUCAUUCUGUCCCUCCCCUGCUCUCUCUCUCUCUCUCAAAAAUAAAAUGAAAACAUUAAAAAAACAAUUUUUUUAACAGUAAAUCAAAACAAGCAAACCAUAUUUAUGGGGCACCUGGCUGGCUCAGUCAGUAGAGCAUGACACUCUUGAUCUCAGGGUCAUGAGUUUGAGCCCCAUGUAGGGGUAAAGUUUACUUUAAGAAAAAAGGAGAAGGAGAAGAAAAAGGAGGAGAAGAGAAAGCAUCAGUUUGGGGCUGGAUGCUAGAGCCCCUAGAGGGGAAGGUGGGCCAGGCUAACCGCAAAGAGUUAGCAGAAUCAGCCAUGGCUAGAUGGAGGGGCUCUGGGUCUCAUCCCCUUGUCUUGGCCUCGGAAAGAUGAAAUUGUGCCUUCCCAAGAAAUUCCUUAUGUGAGUAUUUGUUUAUUCAGGAAAGAGAUACUUUUGAGCGCCCACUUUGUGCUUUGUACUACACCAUGUGCUGGCCAAGGUCCCUCCUUCCCUGGAACAAAUAGCCCUAUAGAGUGUGUGUGAGGUAUAGACAGGGAAACAGGCGGACAGUGCCAAGUGGGACUGGGGCCGACUGAUGCGCUACCAUCAAGGUGGGGUCUGAUAAGCAAGGGAAGCCCUCCC